GGAGAGGUGGUCGAGUGGUUUAAGGCUACGGUCUUGAAAACCGUCGUAGGGGUAACCCUACCGUGGGUUCGAAUCCCACCCUCUCCGCCA
rnacentral:tRNA from 1 species